AAUAACGGGAGAGGUGAAAAUCCAUGAUCGCUAUAAGAUGCACGAGAGCGAAAGCAUUUCACUCAAUUAUGUUCAUUAAUCAAGAACGAAAGUUAGGGGAUCGAAGACGAUCAGAUACCGUCGUAGUCCUAACUAUAAACGAUGUCAACCAAGGAUUGGAUAAAUUACAGAAUCUGAGCAACGAAGAAGCAUUGCUUUGGAAGUGCGAAGAUUCAAUAUUACCUUAUUCAGAACUUAAAGAGAAAUCUUGAGUUUAUGGACUUCAGGGGGAGUAUGGUCACAAGGCUGAAACUUAAAGGAAUUGACGGAAGGGCACACCAGGAGUGGAGCCUGCGGCUCAAUUUGACUCAACACGGGAAAACUUACCAAGACCGAACAGUAUAAGGAAUGACAGAUUAAUAGUUCUUUCAUGAUUUAUUGGGUAGUGGUGCAUGGCCGUUCUUAGUUGGUGGAGUGAUUUGUCAGGUUAAUUCCGGUAACGAACGAGACUGAAACCUAUUAAUUAGUUGUUGGCCCAUGAGACCAACAUGUUAGCAAUAACAGCUGCUCGUUAGCACUUCUUAAAGGGACACAUUUCAAUUGUUCCCUUUUAAUUAUAGUUGUUGGCUUCGGUCAACACGUUUUUAAAGGGGAAAAAAGAAAAAGGAAGCAUUCAGCAAUAACAGGUCUGUGAUGCCCUUAGACAUCUUGGGCCGCACGCGCGCUACAAUGGAGUAACUAGAGAGUAAUUUGUAGGUAUACCUCUAUUGUUC
rnacentral:rRNA from 1 species